rnacentral:rRNA from 1 species
GCAUGAGCAACCUGCCUGCUUCAGGGGAAUAACACAUAGAAAUGUGUGCUAAUACCGCAUAAGACCACGCGUGGGCAUCCGACGAGGGGUAAAAGAUUAGUAUCGGAAGCAGAUGGGCUCAUGUCCUAUUAGGUAGUUGCGGGGUAACGGCCCACCAAGCCAACGAUAGGUAGCCGACCUGAGAGGGGUGAUCGGCCACACUGGGACUGAGAUACGGCCCAGACUCCUACGGGAGGCAGGCAGUGGGGAAUUUUGGGCAAUGGACGCAAGUCUGAACCCCAGCAACGCCGCGUGAAUGAUGAAGGUUUUCGGAUUGUAAAGUUCUGUGAUGGGGACGAAGAAAGUGACGGUACCCCAAUAGACAAGCUCCGGCUAACUACGUGCCAGCCGCGGC